UACGUAGGCAGCAAGCGUUGUUCGGAUUUACUGGGCGUAAAGGGUGUGUAGGCGGCCUUCUAAGUUCGGUGUGAAAUCUCCCGGCUUAACCGGGAGGGUGCGCCGGAAACUGGCAGGCUAGAGUGUGGGAGGGGAAAGUGGAAUUCCUGGUGUAGCGGUGAAAUGCGUAGAUAUCAGGAGGAACACCUGUGGUGUAGACGGCUUUCUGGACCAUAACUGACGCUGAGACACGAAAGCGUGGGUAGCAAACAGG
rnacentral:rRNA from 1 species